rnacentral:rRNA from 1 species
CGCGAGAGCAAGCGGACCUCAUAAAGUGCGUCGUAGUCCGGAUUGGAGUCUGCAACUCGACUCCAUGAAGUCGGAAUCGCUAGUAAUCGUGGAUCAGAAUGCCACGGUGAAUACGUUCCCGGGCCUUGUACACACCGCCCGUCACACCAUGGGAGUGGGUUGCAAAAGAAGUAGGUAGCUUAACCUUCRGGAGGGCGCUUACCACUUUGUGAUUCAUGACUGGGGUGAAGUCGUAACAAGGUAACCGUAGGGGAACCUGCGGUUGGAUCACCUCCUUACCUUAAAGAAGC